rnacentral:rRNA from 1 species
AGUGAACGCUGGCGGUAGGCCUAACACAUGCAAGUCGAACGGCAGCACAGUAAGAGCUUGCUCUUACGGGUGGCGAGUGGCGGACGGGUGAGGAAUACAUCGGAAUCUACUUUUUCGUGGGGGAUAACGUAGGGAAACUUACGCUAAUACCGCAUACGACCUACGGGUGAAAGCAGGGGAUCUUCGGACCUUGCGCGAUUGAAUGAGCCGAUGUCGGAUUAGCUAGUUGGCGGGGUAAAGGCCCACCAAGGCGACGAUCCGUAGCUGGUCUGAGAGGAUGAUCAGCCACACUGGAACUGAGACACGGUCCAGACUCCUAAGGGAGGCAGCAGUGGGGAAUAGUGGACAAUGGGCGCAAGCCUGAUCCAGCCAUACCGCGUGGGUGAAGAAGGCCUUCGGGUUGUAAAGCCCUUUUGUUGGGAAAGAAAAGCAGCAGGUUAAUACCCCGCUGUUCUGACGGUACCCAAAGAAUAAGCACCGGCUAACUUCGUG